GACGAACGCUGGCGGCGUGCUUAACACAUGCAAGUCGAACGAAGAGCGAUGGAAGCUUGCUUCUAUCACUCUUAGUGGCGAACGGGUGAGUAACGCGUAAUCAACCUGCCCUUCAGAGGGGGACAACAGUUGGAAACGACUGCUAAUACCGCAUACGAUCUAAUCUCGGCAUCGAGGAUAGAUGAAAGGUGGCCUCUACAUGUAAGCUAUCACUGAAGGAGGGGAUUGCGUCUGAUUAGCUAGUUGGAGGGGUAACGGCCCACCAAGGCGAUGAUCAGUAGCCGGUCUGAGAGGAUGAACGGCCACAUUGGGACUGAGACACGGCCCAGACUCCUACGGGAGGCAGCAGUGGGGAAUCUUCCGCAAUGGACGAAAGUCUGACGGAGCAACGCCGCGUGAGUGAUGACGGCCUUCGGGUUGUAAAGCUCUGUUAAUCGGGACGAAAGGCCUUCUUGCGAACAGUUAGAAGGAUUGACGGUACCGGAAUAGAAAGCCACGGCUAACUACGUG
rnacentral:rRNA from 1 species